rnacentral:rRNA from 1 species
UACGUAGGGUGCAAGCGUUAAUCGGAAUUACUGGGCGUAAAGCGUGCGCAGGCGGUUUUGUAAGUCUGUCGUGAAAUCCCCGGGCUCAACCUGGGGAAUGGCGAUGGAGACUGCAAGGCUAGAAUCUGGCAGAGGGGGGUAGAAUUCCACGUGUAGCAGUGAAAUGCGUAGAGAUGUGGAGGAACACCGAUGGCGAAGGCAGCCCCCCUGGGUCAAGAUUGACGCUCAUGCACGAAAGCGUUGGGGAGCAAACAGG